rnacentral:rRNA from 1 species
AGAGUUUGAUCCUGGCUCAGGACGAACGCUGGCGGCGUGCCUAAAACAUGCAAGUCGAACGGAACCUUCGGGUUUAGUGGCGAACGGCGGAGUAAUAUAUAAGUAACCUGCCUUGAAGAUCGGGAUAGCCGUGGGAAACUGCGAGUAAUACCGGAUGUGGUGUGCGAGAGACAUCUCUUGCACAUUAAAUGGUUUUUCGCUUCAAGAGGGGCUUAUAACACAUCAGCUAGUUGGUGGGGUAAUGGCCUACCAAGGCGACGACGUGUAGGGGGUCUGAGAGGAUGAUCCCCCCGAGUGGGACUGAGACACGGCCCACACACCUACGGGUGGCAGCAGUUGGGAAUCUUGCACAAUGGGGGAAACCCUGAUGCAGCGACGCCGCGUGGAGGAUGAAGGGUUUAGGCUCGUAACUCCUUUUUCAGGGAAAGACUUAGGACGGUACCUGAGAAUAAGCACCGGCUAACUACGUGCCAGCAGCCGCGGUAGACG